GGCGGAUGUCAUCGGUUCGAGUCCGCUUAUCUCCA
rnacentral:tRNA from 1 species